UCUGCAACUCGACUGCACGAAGACUGGAAUCGCAGUAAUCGCGGAUCAGCACGCCGCGGUGAAUACGUUCCCGGGCCUUGUACACACCGCCCGUCACACCAUGGAAGUCUGCAAUGCCCGAAGCCGGUGGCCUAACCACUUAUGUGGAAGGAGCCGUCUAAGGCAGGGCAGAUGACUGGGGUGAAGUCGUAACAAGGUAUC
rnacentral:rRNA from 1 species